GGGUCGUGUUUAGGGUCAUGUUAGGUUCGUGUUUAGGGUCAUGUUAGGGUCGUGUUUAGGGUCAUGUUAGGGGUCAUGUUAGGUUCGUGUUUAGGGUCGUGUUAGGGUCGUGUUAGGGUCGUGUUUAGGGUCGUGUUCGUGGUCGUGUUAGGGUCGUGUUUAGGGGUCUGUUAGGUUCGUGUUUAGGGUCGUGUUAGGGUCGUGUUUAGGGUCGUGUUAGGGUCGUGUUUAGGGUCAUGUUAGGUUCGUGUUUAGGGUCGUGUUUAGGGUCGUGUUUAGGGUCAUGUUAGGUUCGUGUUUAGGGUCGUGUUUAGGGUCGUGUUAGGGUCGUGUUAGGUUCGUGUUUAGGGUCAUGUUAGGUUCGUGUUUAGGGUCGUGUUAGGGUUGUGUUUAGGGUCAUGUUAGGGUCGUGUUUAGGGUCAUGUUAGGGUCGUGUUAAGAUGUGAAGUUAAGUUAUUUUCUAAACUAAUGUCGGUUGUGUGAAGGUUGGAAAGAUUCCUGAGUUGUGUAGCGUUCUGACUUGUGUAGAUUUAUAAGGUGUG
ensembl:lncRNA